AUUGAACGCUGGCGGCAGGCUUAACACAUGCAAGUCGAACGAGUGGCGGACGGGUGAGUAAUGCUUGGGAAUCUAGCUUAUCGAGGGGGAUAACUACGGGAAACUGUCGCUAAUACCGCGUACCAUAGUAUGAGCCCAAGUGGGAUUAGGUAGUUGGUGAGGUAAAGGCGCACCAAGCCGACGAUCUCUAGCUGGGCUGCGAGGAUGACGAGACACACGGGGACUGAGAGACGGACCAGACUCCGACGGGAGGCAGCAGUGGGGAAUAUGGCGCAAUGGGGGCAAGCUGAGCCAGCCAUGCCGCGUGUCUGAAGAAGGCUGUCGGGUUGUAAAGGACUUUUGUCAGGGAAGCGGUACCUGAAGAAUAAGCACCGGCUAACUACGUGCCAGCAGCCGCGGUAAUAC
rnacentral:rRNA from 1 species